AGAGUUUGAUUCUGGCUCAGGACGAACGCUGGCGGCGCGCCUAACACAUGCAAGUCGAACGGAGUUGUGUUGAAAGCUUGCUGGAAAUACAACUUAGUGGCGGACGGGUGAGUAACACGUGAGUAACCUGCCUUUCAGAGUGGAAUAACGUUUGGAAACGAACGCUAAUACCGCAUAACAUAGUUUCCGGGCAUCCGGAGACUAUCAAAGAUUUUAUCGCUGAGAGAUGGGCUCGCGGCCGAUUAGGUAGUUGGUGAGAUAACAGCCCACCAAGCCGACGAUCGGUAGCCGGACUGAGAGGUUGAACGGCCACAUUGGGACUGAGACACGGCCCAG
rnacentral:rRNA from 1 species